UGUGGUUAAAAAGCUCGUAGUUGGAUCUCAACAGCCUUGAAGCGGUUAACUUUGUAGUUUUACUGCUUUAUAGGCUGUGCUUUUGCUGGAGGUUUAGGGGUGCUCUUGAUCGAGUGUCUCUGGAUGCCAGCAGGUUUACUUUGAAAAAAUUAGAGUGCUCAAAGCAGGCUAAAAUGCCUGAAUAUUCGUGCAUGGAAUAAUAGAAUAGGAUGUCGAUCCUAUUUUGUUGGUUUUCGGGACUCGACAUAAUGAUAAAUAGGGACAGUCGGGGGCAUUUGUAUUCAAACGACAGAGGUGAAAUUCUUGGACCGUUUGAAGACAAACUACUGCGAAAGCAUUUGCCAAGAAUGUUUUCAUUAAUCAAGAACGAAAGUUAGAGGUUCGAAGGCGAUUAGAUACCGCCCUAGUUCUAACCAUAAACGAUGCCGGCUAGCGAUCUGCCUGCGUUUUUACUGUAGACUGGGCAGGAAGCUUCCGGGAAACCAAAGCAUUUGGGUUCCAGGGGAAGUAUGGUUGCAAAGCUGAAACUUAAAGGAGUUGACGGAAGGGCACCACCAG
rnacentral:rRNA from 1 species